AUAUAUGAGAUUGGACCUUCAAUUUACGCUCUUUCUGAAAAAGCCAAUUUACGAGACCGUCAUGCCGCUUCUUAUUCAUAUACGUUCUUUGUCGCUUCUUAUUCAUAUACGUUCUUUGAUAUUGGUCGACGAAAAAUGUGUGAAGAGGACACGAAACCCUGAAAACGGCUCUACCGCUUUUGCACAAAUACCGUAUGAGUCUUGUCGCUUCUUAUUCAUAUACGUUCUUUGGUAAUAAUCGGAAGUAGUGUUGUUAAGUUCGUUGAACCAGCAGUUAAGAUAAUGGUACUAUUUACGAAAUUACUCAGAUACUUUUUCACCUCUUACGAUAAUAGAAGAAGUGAGACCAUUUUACCACGAACAGCGAAACGAUCAAAAUUAUUUAAAGAAGGGGGAUAAUUUACUGUUAAUUGCCAACAAGUAUAUAGAGAGAACUGUUUAGUGAGAGCACGAGCUCAUUGCUCACACAAACAGUUUUGCCAAUAUAACAGUUUGAAAUCGUUUAAGAUACUAAAGUAAAAAUGAAGACUGCAAUGUAGAUUUUUUCUUUGGCGGAAACUUGUAUUGUCAGAGAUUUGAGGUAUUAAAAGGGAAAUUUUACUCCAAAUUUUAAGAAGUUGGUAUCGUUGGAAUGAUAAUCUGUUUUCAAGGAAAAAUAUUAUUUUUUUAUGCCUCAGAAUAAGGUUAAUAUUCUUGUACCUACACCACAACCACCUUUAAAAUUUUUCACUCUUCCUAAAAUUUUGAAGCUGUAAAUUUUCAUAAUUUAUUUUGUAAUUUUAUUUUUUCUCAAAAGCUAGCGAACAUCGAAUUGAGUGUCCAGUUGUACCUUAAGUAUAAUUUCAUCAUUGUUACCAUGAAGCAAGGUGAAUUAAAAUCGCCUUGGCAAGAAA